rnacentral:rRNA from 1 species
GAUGAACGCUGGCGGCGUGCCUAAUACAUGCAAGUCGAACGAAACUUCUUUAUCACCGAGUGCUUGCACUCACCGAUAAAGAGUUGAGUGGCGAACGGGUGAGUAACACGUGGGCAACCUGCCCAAAAGAGGGGGAUACACUUGGGAACAAGUGCUUAUACCCCAUAACCAUAGGUACCGCAUGGUAACUAUUUAAAAGGUUGCUAUACUACCGAUUUUGGAUGGGCCCGCGGGUCAGUAGCUAGUUGGUAGGGUAAAGGCUUACCAAGGCAAUGCUGCGUAGCCGAAUUGAGAGGUUGAUCGACCACAGUGGGGCUGAGACACGGCCCAAACUCCUACGGGAGGCAGCAGUAGGGAAUCUACCACAAUGGGCGAAAGCCUGAUGGAGCAACGCCGCGUGAGUGAAGAAGGUCUUCGGAUCGUAAAACCCUAUUGUUAGAGAAGAAAGAGCGUGAGAGUAACUGUUCACGUUUCGACGGUAUCUAACCAGAAAGCCACGGCUAACUACGU